GAUGAACGCUGGCGGCGUGCCUAAUACAUGCGAGUCGAGCGAACAGAUAAGGAGCUUGCUCCUUUGACGUUAGCGGCGGACGGGUGAGUAACACGUGGGUAACCUAUCUAUAAGACUGGAAUAACUCCGGGAAACCGGGGCUAAUGCCGGAUAACAUUUUGAACCGCAUGGUUCUACAGUGAAAGGCGGCUUUGCUGUCACUUAUAGAUGGACCCGCGCCGUAUUAGCUAGUUGGUGAGGUAACGGCUCACCAAGGCAACGAUACGUAGCCGACCUGAGAGGGUGAUCGGCCACACUGGAACUGAGACACGGUCCAGACUCCUACGGGAGGCAGCAGUAGGGAAUCUUCCGCAAUGGGCGAAAGCCUGACGGAGCAACGCCGCGUGAGUGAUGAAGGUCUUCGGAUCGUAAAACUCUGUUAUUAGGGAAGAACAAAUGCGUAAGUAACUGUGCGCGUCUUGACGGUACCUAAUCAGAAAGCCACGGCUAACUACGUG
rnacentral:rRNA from 1 species